AGAGUUUGAUCCUGGCUCAGGACGAACGCUGGCGGCGGGCUUAACACAUGCAAGUCGAACGAGAAGCCGAGAGCUUGCUCUUGGUGGAAAGUGGCGCACGGGUGCGUAACGCGUAGGCAACCUGCCCUCAAGUGGGGAAUAACUCCGGGAAACCGGGGCUAAUACCGCAUGAAGUCUUGAUAAGGCAUCUUAUCGAGAUGAAAGCCUUCGGGCGCUUGAGGAUGGGCCUGCGUCGGAUUAGUUAGUUGGUGAGGUAACGGCUCACCAAGGCGACGAUCCGUAGCUGGUCUGAGAGGAUGAUCAGCCACACUGGCACUGAGACACGGGCCAGACUCCUACGGGAGGCAGCAGUGAGGAAUAUUGGGCAAUGGGCGAAAGCCUGACCCAGCCACGCCGCGUGCAGGAUGACACCCCUACGGGGCGUAAACUGCUUUUAUGUGGGAAGAAUCCCCCGGUAUGCCGGGAUUGACGGUACCACAUGAAUAAGCACCGGCUAACUCCGUGCCAGCAGCCGCGGUAAUACGGAGGGUGCAAGCGUUGUCCGGAAUCAUUGGGUGUAAAGGGUGUGUAGGUGGGAUAGCAAGUCAGAGGUGAAAUCCUGCGGCCUAACCGUAGAACUGCCUUUGAUACUGCUAUUCUUGAGUCCUGGAGAGGUCACCGGAAUUCGUGGUGUAGCGGUGAAAUGCGUAGAUAUCACGAGGAACACCUGUUGCGUAGGCGGGUGACUGGACAGGUACUGACACUAAUGCACGAAAGCGUGGGGAGCAAACAGGAUUAGAUACCCUGGUAGUCCACGCCGUAAACGAUGGAUACUCGGCGUUGCCGCAUUCUUAGCGGCAGUGCCCAAGCUAACGCGUUAAGUAUCCCACCUGGGGAGUACGAUCGCAAGGUUGAAACUCAAAGGAAUUGACGGGGGCCCGCACAAGCGGUGGAGCAUGUGGCUUAAUUCGAUGCAACGCGAGGAACCUUACCUGGGCUCGAACGCUACCGGACAACCCCUGAAAGGGGGUCUCCUUCGGGCUGGUAGUGAGGUGCUGCAUGGCUGUCGUCAGUUCGUGUCGUGAGAUGUUGGGUUAAGUCCCGCAACGAACGCAACCCCUAUCGUUAGUUACCAGCGGAUCAUGCCGGGGACUCUAGCGAGACUGCCUGCGCAAGCAGUGAGGAAGGAGGGGAUGACGUCAAGUCAUCAUGGCCCUUACGCUCAGGGCUGCACGCGUGCUACAAUGGGUGAUACAAUGGGCAGCCACUCCGCGAGGAGGAGCUAAUCCUUAAAGUCAUCCUCAGUUCGGAUUGGAGUCUGCAACUCGACUCCAUGAAGUCGGAAUCGCUAGUAAUCGCGUAUCAGCAAUGACGCGGUGAAUACGUUCCCGGGCCUUGUACACACCGCCCGUCAAGCCAUGGAAGCCGAGGGCGCCCGAAGUCCGUGACCCGACCGUAAGGAGGGAGCGGCCGAAGGUGAACUUGGUGACUGGGGCUAAGUC
rnacentral:rRNA from 1 species